GGGUACAUGGUCUAGUGGUAUGAUUUUCGCUUCGCACUAUACGUGCCCUUGUGAAAGGUCCCCGGUUCAAUCCCGGGUGUAUCCA